rnacentral:lncRNA from 1 species
AUAGUCUUUAAUAUUGUUUGUAUAAUUAUAAGCAGUUGUACUCAUUCUGGAAUAUAGACAUUAAAAUGGAUGUAUUUUUAACCUUUAGUUUUUUCAGCAACUUUUCAUACUCUCUUAAAUAUAGAUUUAUUACAUGACUUUUAAAAAAUGUUUUUAGUUUUAUAUUUUACAGGCAAUUUCCAAAAGAAGCUAUAGAAUUUAUAUAAUUGACAGUUGAAAGAUUCUGAACCUUUUCCGUGAAGAAUGAGAAGAAUAAAUGAUCCAAAACUGCCUUUUAUGGAAAAGAAAAUUAAAUAUUAUUACAUGAUACAGAUUUUUACUUCAUGGUAGAGACAUUGUCUCAUACUGUACCUUAUUUUUGUAGCCUUCAACAAUUGGAUCCAUGGCUUUGACAGAAGGGGCAUUGUGUCAGCAUGAUCUCAUCAGAGUUGUUUAUAGUGAUCUUCAUCCUCAGAGGGAAACAUUCACUGCACAGAACCGGUUUGAAGUCCUGAGUUUUCUCAUGCUGUGUUAUAAUUCUGCUAUUGUAUAUAUGCCUGCCUCAUCUUACCAAUCUCUUUGUCGGAUGGGUUCCAGGUGAGAAGAGUGAUUAUUACUAAUCUUCAUAUUUAUUUGAUAGAUAUUUAUUGAGCACAUUCUCUAAGCCAAGCACUGUUCUAACUUCUGGUAUUACAGCAGUAAACAAAACUCAUGGAGCUUGCAUUCCUGUAGGAGUCCUUAUCCUCAUGAGGCUGUUUUUGUUGUUGUUGUUGUUUUGGUUUUUUAUGAGAUAGGAUUUCUCUCUGUCGCCUAGGCUGGAGUACAGUGGCUCAAUCAUAGCUCACUGUGCCCUCAGCCUUCUUGGCUCAAGGGAUCCUCCCGCCUGGGCCUCCCAAGUAGCUGGGACCACAGGUGUACACCACGACUCUCAGCUAAUUUUUGUAGAGAAAGGGUCUUGCUAUGUUGCCCAGGUUUGUCUUGAAGUUCUGGCCUCAAGCAUUCUUGCCACAUCAGCCUUCCAAAGUGCUGCGAGUACAGGUGUGAGCCACCAUGCCUGGCCUCGUGCAUUCUUGAAAAUGUUUUCAGCAUUAAAGAAAUAUUUUCUAGCUGAACGUGGAGUUGUACCAAGACAUCCAAAUCUAGGGUUGUUUAGUGAUAUAUCUUAUUCCCUGGUUGCCAGUUUUUGUAAAUCACUUUGAGAUCUUUGAAAAAAAAUAGUGCUAUAUAUGGGGAAAGUCUUAAGGAAUAUGAACCUCUUCCCAUACAUUUCAUAAAUAACUGUCUCUGUGUUGGAGAAAGUGAUUAGCAAUAGUACCAAUGAUGUGUGUGUCUCAUUUGUAUGUAGGGGGUGGAUAUUCUGUAUCUCAUGGAUUAUAAUCUUUACUAAAUCAUAAUUUCUAAUAAUUUGGACAGACCUAGGCUUAAAUCUUGUUCUGUCACCCAGACUGGAGUGCAGUGGUGCCAUAUUGGCUCAUUCAACCUUUGCCUCUCAGGUUCAAGUGAUCUUCUCACCUCAGUCUCCUGAGUAGUUAGGACUACAGGUGCCCACCACCAUGCUGGGCUAUUUUUUUUUUUUAAAAGAGACCAGGUUUCACAAUGUUGCACAGGCAGGUCACAAACUCCUGGGAUUAAGUGAUCUGCCUGCCCUGGCCUUCCAAAGUGCUAGGAUUACAGGCAUGAGCCACCACACCUGGCGUUAAAUUUCUACCAUAGAAAAAAUGUAGGCCAGGGUCAGUGGCCCAUGCCUGUAAUCCCAGCAUGAUGGGAGGCCAAGGCCUGAGGUCAGGAGUUUGAGACCAGCCUGGCCAACGUGGUGAAACCCUGUCUCUAUACAAAAAUACAAAAAUUAGCUGGGUGGUAGCGCAUGCCUAUAAUCCCAGCUAUUUGAGAGGCUGAGGCAUGUGGAUCACUUGAACCUGGUAGGCAGGGUUGCAGUGAUCUGAGAUCACGCCACUGCACUCCAGCCUGGGCGACAGAGUGACACCUUGUCUC